rnacentral:rRNA from 1 species
AGAGUUUGAUCAUGGCUCAGAUUGAACGCUGGCGGCAGGCCUAACACAUGCAAGUCGAACGGUAACAGGAAACAGCUUGCUGUUUCGCUGACGAGUGGCGGACGGGUGAGUAAUGUCUGGGAAACUGCCUGAUGGAGGGGGAUAACUACUGGAAACGGUAGCUAAUACCGCAUAAUGUCGCAAGACCAAAGAGGGGGACCUUCGGGCCUCUUGCCAUCGGAUGUGCCCAGAUGGGAUUAGCUUGUUGGUGGGGUAACGGCUCACCAAGGCGACGAUCCCUAGCUGGUCUGAGAGGAUGACCAGCCACACUGGAACUGAGACACGGUCCAGACUCCUACGGGAGGCAGCAGUGGGGAAUAUUGCACAAUGGGCGCAAGCCUGAUGCAGCCAUGCCGCGUGUAUGAAGAAGGCCUUCGGGUUGUAAAGUACUUUCAGCGGGGAGGAAGGGAGUAAAGUUAAUACCUUUGCUCAUUGACGUUACCCGCAGAAGAAGCACCGGCUAACUCCGUGCCAGCAGCCGCGGUAAUACGGAGGGUGCAAGCGUUAAUCGGAAUUACUGGGCGUAAAGCGCACGCAGGCGGUUUGUUAAGUCAGAUGUGAAAUCCCCGGGCUCAACCUGGGAACUGCAUCUGAUACUGGCAAGCUUGAGUCUCGUAGAGGGGGGUAGAAUUCCAGGUGUAGCGGUGAAAUGCGUAGAGAUCUGGAGGAAUACCGGUGGCGAAGGCGGCCCCCUGGACGAAGACUGACGCUCAGGUGCGAAAGCGUGGGGAGCAAACAGGAUUAGAUACCCUGGUAGUCCACGCCGUAAACGAUGUCGACUUGGAGGUUGUGCCCUUGAGGCGUGGCUUCCGGAGCUAACGCGUUAAGUCGACCGCCUGGGGAGUACGGCCGCAAGGUUAAAACUCAAAUGAAUUGACGGGGGCCCGCACAAGCGGUGGAGCAUGUGGUUUAAUUCGAUGCAACGCGAAGAACCUUACCUGGUCUUGACAUCCACGGAAGUUUUCAGAGAUGAGAAUGUGCCUUCGGG